UACGUAGGGGGCAAGCGUUGUCCGGAUUUAUUGGGCGUAAAGAGCGUGUAGGCGGCCUGAAAGGUCAGCUGUGAAAACUCGAGGCUUAACCUCGAGACGUCGGUUGAAACCAUCUGGCUAGAGUCCGGAAGAGGAGUGUGGAAUUCCCGGUGUAGCGGUGAAAUGCGCAGAUAUCGGUAGGAACACCAGUGGCGAAGGCGGUCUCCUGGGGCAUUCUUGACGCUG
rnacentral:rRNA from 1 species